UGAAAAUUUAACGUGAGGUUCAUUAUAAUUGUACUUAGUAGUAAAAAAAGUUCAGCGUAAUGUAGUGAUUUUAGAUUCUGAGCGGAGUGAGAAAUGUAUUGGUUUCACAAUGAUUAUGUUUUUAAUUUGUUUUCAAUCUGUGAACAUGUUUUAUACCUGAAAUCUUGCUCCGAUUUUGAAGUUUAGCACUUUUUUCGAAAGGAAAUUUUCCCGAGGUGCAAAAAUUGGAAAAACUGGAAAAAACGUAGGAAAAACGGCAAAAUGUAUAAAAUGUACUUAUUAUUUUCAAAUCGUAAAUAUUACGGCCUUUCAAAACAUGUGUAACCGAACUCAGCUGAGAGUCUUAAGCCAUACUUUAUCGUUGCUUAUUACAGAUAUUCAUUAAAUUUUAAGAUCAACUUUUUCCAAGAAAACCGCCG